AGCGAACGCUGGCGGCAGGCUUAACACAUGCAAGUCGAGCGGGCAUAGCAAUAUGUCAGCGGCAGACGGGUGAGUAACGCGUGGGAACGUACCUUUUGGUUCGGAACAACACAGGGGAGACUUGUGCUAAUACCGGAUAGCCCUUACGGGGAAAGAUUUAUCGCCGAAAGAUCGGCCCGCGUCUGAUUAGCUAGUUGGUG
rnacentral:rRNA from 1 species